rnacentral:lncRNA from 1 species
AUGUUGUGUUGUCAUGUGUUGUUGUCCAUGUUGUGUUGCCACCCAUGUUGUGUUGCCACCCAUGUUGUGUUGCUACCCAUGUUGUGUUGCUACCCAUGUUGUGUUGACACCCAUGUUGUGUUGACACCCAUGUUGUGUUGUCAUGUGUUGCCACCCAUGGUGUGUUACUACCCAUGUUGUGUUGCCACCCAUGUUGUGUUGCCACCCAUGUUGUGUUGCCACCCAUGUUGUGUUGCCACCCAUGUUGUGUUGCUACACAUGUUGUGUUGCCACCCAUGUUGUGUUGCCACCCAUGUUGUGUUGUCAUGUGUUGCCACCCAUGUUGUGUUGCUACCCAUGUUGUGUUGCUACCCAUGUUGUGUUGCUACCCAUGUUGUGUUGCCACCCAUGUUGUGUUGUCAUGUGUUGCCACCCAUGUUGUGUUGCUACCCAUGUUGUGUUGCCACCCAUGUUGUGUUGCUACCCAUGUUGUGUUGCCACCCAUGUUGUGUUGCUACCCAUGUUGUGUUGUCAUGUGUUGCUACCCAUGUUGUGUUGCUACCCAUGUUGUGUUGCCACCCAUGUUGUGUUGCCACCCAUGUUGUGUUGCCACCCAUGUUGUGUUGUCAUGUGUUGCCACCCAUGUUGUGUUGCUACCCAUGUUGUGUUGUCAUGUGUUGCUACCCAUGUUGUGUUGCUACCCAUGUUGUGUUGCCACCCAUGUUGUGUUGUCAUGUGUUGCUACCCAUGUUGUGCUGCUACCCAUGUUGUGUUGCUACCCAUGUUGUGUUGCUACCCAUGUUGUGUUGCUACCCAUGUUGUGUUGUCAUGUGUUGCUACCCAUGUUGUGUAGCCACCCAUGUUGUGUUGUCAUGUGUUGCCACCCAUGUUGUGUUGCUACCCAUGUUGUGUUGUCAUGUGUUGCUACCCAUGUGGUGUUGUCAUGUGUUGCUACCCAUGUUGUGUUGUCAUGUGUUGCUACCCAUGUUGUGUUGCUACCCAUGUUGUGUUGCUACCCAUGUUGUGUUGCUACCCAUGUUGUGUUGUCAUGUGUUGCUACCCAUGUUGUGUUGCUACCCAUGUUGUGUUGUCAUGUGUUGCUACCCAUGUUGUGUAGCCACCCAUGUUGUGUUGUCAUGUGUUGCCACCCAUGUUGUGUUGCUACCCAUGUUGUGUUGUCAUGUGUUGCUACCCAUGUGGUGUUGUCAUGUGUUGCUACCCAUGUUGUGUUGUCAUGUGUUGCUACCCAUGUUGUGUUGCUACCCAUGUUGUGUUGCUACCCAUGUUGUGUUGCUACCCAUGUUGUGUUGCUACCCAUGUGGUGUUGUCAUGUGUUGCUACCCAUGUUGUGUUGUCAUGUGUUGCUACCCAUGUUGUGUUGCUACCCAUGUUGUGUUGUCAUGUGUUGCUGCCUUGCUAUGUUGUUCUCUUAGGUCUCUCUUUAUGUAG